rnacentral:pre_miRNA from 1 species
AGGCCAUCUUCGGUAGCCAAGGAUGAUUUGCCUGUGAACCUACUGGCUGAGAGGCGAACUCUCGGCGCACCCGAGAGGUUCCACGGGCAAGUCAGCCUGGCUACCCGAGUGCCUCG